ACUACUGGUCGAACAACUGUCUUAGAAAGUCAGGCAGUCUAGAAUGUCUUGAUUUAUGUUUAAUGCUGCACAAUCCAGAAUAGACCGGAUGGCCAUGGAAGACGGCAUCACACCAGAGCAGGCAUUUACCAACCAAACAACAGCUGCAGGCAACCCCUCCAUGGGGCCUCUGAGACCACAUAAAAGGAGCAACAUACCUGUAAGUGCCCCAGCCGAAAGUCCAACUCAGGCUACACAUAAACCAUGUAAACUUGUCUCCUCGUAUAAUGACACAGAAUAUCCUUCAGCUACUAUUGAUAUGGACGUACCUGGGUAUGAGCGCACCAGCCACUCAUGGUACCUUAGAUAUGGCCGGACGUUGUCUUCAUACGACCCAUGCAGAUACAUCCUGAAAGCUGCCCUUUCAGUCAUAACUGCAUGGGAGAACACUCUGGAGGAGGAGGAGGAAGAUGAGGAGGAAGAUGAGGAGGAGGAGGAGAUGGAGGAGGAAGAUGAGGGUGAGGAAGAUGAGGAGAUGGAGGAGGAAGAUGAGGAUGAGGAGGAGGAGAUGGAGGAGGAUGAGGAAGAAGAAGACAAGGAAGGAGAGGAUGAGGAAGAAGAGUAUUAUACAAUGGAGGAAGAGGAAUAUGAGGAGUAUGAGGAGUACGAGGAGGAGUGUGAAGACGAUGAUGAUCAUUACACGGAAAACAACUGUAUAAUCUGUGCUCUAUUCAAAUUCAUCCGUAUGCUCUUCAGCCCAGGGAGAGGUACUGCCUGAGAAUAACUACCUUUUUCUCUGUAACAGAAAAUGUUUAAUUCUUACUUCAAAAAAUAAACCCUGUGGCAGUAAAUUAAGAUCUU